GGCAAAAGCUCAAAUUUGAAAUCUGGCGUCUUCGACGUCCGAGUUGUAAUUUGAAGAAGGCGACUUUGUAGCUGGUCCUUGUCUAUGUUCCUUGGAACAGGACGUCAUAGAGGGUGAGAAUCCCGUGUGGCGAGGAUCCCAGUUAUUUGUAAAGUGCUUUCGACGAGUCGAGUUGUUUGGGAAUGCAGCUCUAAGUGGGUGGUAAAUUCCAUCUAAAGCUAAAUAUUGGCGAGAGACCGAUAGCGAACAAGUACAGUGAUGGAAAGAUGAAAAGAACUUUGAAAAGAGAGUGAAAAAGUACGUGAAAUUGUUGAAAGGGAAGGGCAUUUGAUCAGACAUGGCGUUUGCUUCGGCUUUCGCUGGGCCAGCAUCAGUUUUAGCGGUUGGAUAAAUCCUCGGGAAUGUGGCUCUGCUUCGGUAGAGUGUUAUAGCCCGUGGGAAUACAGCCAGCUGGGACUGAGGAUUGCGACUUUUGUCAAGGAUGCUGGCGUAAUGGUUAAAUGC
rnacentral:rRNA from 1 species